AGCUUUGCGCAGUUCCGUGUCGUAGCCAAUGAGGUUUAUCCGAGGCGCGAUUAUUGCUCAUUGAAAACGUUCCCCAAUACCCCGCAGCGACUUCAGGGCAGCAUGCCUGGAACUGGAGAGCGUUAUGCUAAGUGCAAGAAGGCA